CGAACGCUGGCGGCGUGCUUAACACAUGCAAGUCGAACGGAAAGGCCCCUUUGGGGGUACUCGAGUGGCGAACGGGUGAGUAACACGUGAGUAACCUGCCCUUGACUUCGGGAUAACUUCAGGAAACUGGGGCUAAUACCGGAUAGGAAUCCUUGCUGCAUGGUGGGGGUUGGAAAGCUUCGGCGGUUUUGGGUGGACUGGCGGGUUAUCAGCUUGUUGGUGGGGUAUUGGCUUACCAAGGCUUUGACGGGUAGCCGGCCUGAGAGGGCGACCGGCCACAUUGGGACUGAGAGACGGCACAGACGCCUACGGGAGGCAGAAGGGGGGAAUAUUGCACAAUGGGCGGAAGCCGGAUGCAGAAACGCCGCGGGCGGGAUGACGGCCUUCGGGUUGUAAACCGCAUUCAGCAGGGGAGAAGCUUGUGGUGACGGUACCUGCAGAAGAAGCACCGGCUAACUACGUG
rnacentral:rRNA from 1 species